UACGAAGGGGGCUAGCGUUGCUUGGAAUCACUGGGCGUAAAGCGCACGUAGGCGGCUUUCUAAGUCAGGGGUGAAAUCCUGGAGCUCAACUCCAGAACUGCCUUUGAUACUGGAGAGCUUGAGUCCGGAAGAGGUGAGUGGAACUCCGAGUGUAGAGGUGAAAUUCGUAGAUAUUCGGAAGAACACCAGUGGCGAAGGCGGCUCACUGGUCCGGUACUGACGCUGAGGUGCGAAAGCGUGGGGAGCAAACAGG
rnacentral:rRNA from 1 species